rnacentral:lncRNA from 1 species
UUAGUUUGCUUGAAAACCAACCAAAUUGAAAAUUUUCUUGCAUCUAGAUUUUGACACCAGUCAUCAUUUGGAGAUUUAAAUAGUGCAUUGCAGUCAAUAAGUCUCAAAAACAAAGACUUUAAACAAUUUCCAAAAGCUUGGACAAAGCACCAACUUAGCCAUUUCUCAUCACCACAGUUGGCUUGCUUGAAAACACCCGAAAGUGAAAAUUUUCUUGCACCUAUAUUUUGACACCAGUCGUCAUUUCAGGAUUUAAAGAGUGUAUUGCAGUCCCUAAAUAUCACAAACAAAGACUUUAAAAAAUUGCCAAAUCUUGGCACCAAGCACAAACCUGUCCAAGUCUACAAACCAAAAUUCGGUUGCUUGAAAACCAACCAAAUGGGAAAAUUUCUUGCACCUACAUUUUGACACCAGUGUCAUUUCGGGAUUUAAAUAGUGUAUUGCAGUCCCUAAAUCUCACAAAUGAAGACUUUCAAAAAUUGCCAAAUCUUGGCACCAAGCACAAACCUAGGCAAGUGUCAAAACCAAAAUUAGUUUGCUUGAAAACAAACCAAAUUGAAAAUUUUCUUACAUCUAGAUUUUGACACCAGUCAUCAUUUGGAGAUUUAAAUAAUGCAUUGCAGUCAAUAAGUCUCAAAAAGAAAGACUUUAAACAAUUUCCAAAAGCUUGGACCAAGCACCAACUUAGCCAUUUCUCAUCACCAAACUUGGCUUGCUUGAAAACCAACCAAAUUGAAAAUUUUCUUGCACCUAUAUUUUCACACCAGUUGUCAUUUUGGGAUUUAAAGAGUGUAUUUUUGUCCCUAAAUCUCACAAACCAAGACUUUCAAAAAUUGCCAAAUCUUGGCACCAAGCACAAACCUAUCCAAGUCUAAAAACGAAAAUUAUGUUGCUUGAAAACCAGCGAAAUUGAAAAAUUUCUUGUACCUAUAUUUUGACACCAGUGUCAUUCCGGGAUUUAAAGAGUGCAUUGCAGUCCCUAAAUCUCAGAAACCAAGACUUUUAAAAAAAUGCCAAAUCUUGCCACCAAGUCUCAAAACAAAAAUUAGUUUGCUUUAAAACCAAACAAAUUGAAAAUAAUCUUGCAUCUAGAUUUUGACUCCAGUAAUCAUUUGGGGAUUAAAAGGUUGGAUUGAAGUCACUAAGUCUCAAAAACAAAGACUUUUAAACAAUUUCCAAAAUCAUGGCACCAACCACCAUCAUAGCCAAGUCUCAUCAUCAAACUUGGCUUGCUUGAAAACCAACCAAAUUGAAAAUUUUCUUGAACCUAUAUUUUGACACCAGUCGUCAUUUCGGGAUUUAAAGAGUGUAUUGCAGUCCCUAAAUCUCACAAACCAAGAUAUUCAAAAAUUGCCAAAUCUUGGCACCAAGAAGAAACCUAUGCAAGUCUCAAAACCAAAAAUAGGUUGCUUGAAAACCAACCAAAUUGAAAAUUCUCUUGCACCUAUAUUUUGACACCAGUUGUCAUUUAAGGAUUUAAAGAGUGCAUUGCAAUCCCUAAAUCUGAAAAACCCAGACUUUUAAAAAAUGCCAAAUCAUGGGACCAAGCACACAAAUGGAAAAUUUUCUUGCAUCUAGAUUUUGACUCCAGUAAUCAUUUGGGGAUUAAAAGGGUGCAUUGGAGUCACUAAGUCUCAAAAACAAAGACUUUUAACCAAUUUCCAAAAUCUUGGCACCAACCAACAACAUAGACAAGUCUCAUCAUCAAACUUGGCUUGCUUGAAAACCAACCAAAUUGAAAAUUUUCUUGAACCUAUAUUUUGACACCAGUCAUCAUUUCGGGAUUUAAAGAGUGUAUUGCAGUCCCUAAAUCUCACAAACCAAGACUUUCAAAAAUUGCCAAAUCUUGGCACCAAGAAGAAACCUAUCCAAGUCUCAAAACCAAAAAUAGGUUGCUUGAAAACCAAC